rnacentral:sRNA from 2 species
GGCCCGGAAAGUUGAAAUCAGGAAGGUUGAUCGCUUGUCAUUCAUUAUUCAGCCCUAUCGAAGCCCCCAGUGUUCGAUGCUUGCCGUUUGUUUGUUCUCUUCUCGCUGAUCUAGUUAAUCCCAUAUAAAAUAAGUAAUUACCAUCUAGUUGGCCAUUUUAUUCAAACGGCCCAUCCUCAUCGGAUUGAACACUAUCAGGAACGUUUUCCUCCGAUGUCUGCAACCCAGCGACGAAGACUGACUUACAUAGAAAGCGGGUCCAUAGUUCGAAUUAGUAAAAGCACGCGCACGCGCACGCUCACACUCACGCUUGUUCCUGACUCCUGAGACCUGCCGAAGCAAUCUGCGGUUUGAUCGUCCGCUGAUCCGCGCAGGCUUAAAUAGAACGGUUAAACGGUAGUAUCAUAGUACAAGAAUUGAUUAGACAGAAAAACGUGGUUGGGGACAGAUUGUCUGUUUCAGAUUGCAUAUUGGCAACGUGAAAAGGCGGCGUUUUGGGCUAAAACACACCUGCCAGCCUUGAGACUGGAGCCCAGCAGCUAAGCUGUCUUUAGUGAACGAAGCGCCCGGCGGCAGAUCGCCUGGCGCUUGGCUGUGGAUGAUGUGCCGUGCUUUUUGAUGGUUGAUUCUCUCUUUUUCUUUUUCUUUUUCUUUUUCCGCCUUCUUUACUUUUUUGAUCGAUAACAGAUCAUGUUAAUGUAUGUACCGAAGGGCGGCCAACUUGAUAUUUUGAUAGAUAUUUGAAACAGAGAUUGUCUUCAUCCCCGUUGUGUGUUUCCUACUUAAAAGUUGCCCACCGGAUAAGGUUCGCGGGGGUCUCGCAGCCACUUCUUGGAUAAGUGAAGCCCAUCUUAAUGAAUUGCAUUAUUGCAGCAGCCCAAUGACGCCAUAUUCCGCCUCCCCGGGAAUCAAAGCUGGGGAAUUUGGGAGAAGCUUUUUUGUCGAAGUCUGUGAGGGCUUGUGGCAUCCAAAGCAGGUGUCAAACAGAAUAGUCGAUGUC